ACAACGCGGUGGAGCAUGUGGUUUAAUUCGAUUGUCAACGCGAAGAACCUUACCUGGUCUUGACAUCCACAGAACUUUCCAGAGAUGGAUUGGUGCCUUCGGGAACGUGUGAGACAGGUGCUGCAUGGCUGUCGUCAGCUCGUGUUGUGAAAUGUUGGGUUAAGUCCCGCAACGAGCGCAACCCUUAUCCUUUGUUGCCAGCGGUUAGGCCGGGAACUCAAAGGAGACUGCCAGUGAUAAACUGGAGGAAGGUGGGGAUGACGUCAAGUCAUCAUGGCCCUUACGACCAGGGCUACACACGUGCUACAAUGGCGCAUACAAAGAGAAGCGACCUCGCGAGAGCAAGCGGACCUCAUAAAGUGCGUCGUAGUCCGGAUUGGAGUCUGCAACUCGACUCCAUGAAGUCGGAAUCGCUAGUAAUCGUGGAUCAGAAUGCCACGGUGAAUACGUUCCCGGGCCUUGUACACACCGCCCGUCACACCAUGGGAGUGGGUUGCAAAAGAAGUAGGUAGCUUAACCUUCGGGAGGGCGCUUACCACUUUGUGAUUCAUGACUGGGGUGAAGUCGUAACAAGGUAACCGUAGGGGAACCUGCGGUUGGAUCACCUCCUUACCUUAAAGAAGC
rnacentral:rRNA from 1 species